rnacentral:rRNA from 1 species
GACGAACGCUGGCGGCGUGCCUAAUACAUGCAAGUAGAACGCUGAAGAGAGGAGCUUGCUCUUCUUGGAUGAGUUGCGAACGGGUGAGUAACGCGUAGGUAACCUGCCUUGUAGCGGGGGAUAACUAUUGGAAACGAUAGCUAAUACCGCAUAACAAUGGAUGACACAUGUCAUUUAAUUGAAAGGGGCAAUUGCUCCACUACAAGAUGGACCUGCGUUGUAUUAGCUAGUAGGUGAGGUAAUGGCUCACCUAGGCGACGAUACAUAGCCGACCUGAGAGGGUGAUCGGCCACACUGGGACUGAGACACGGCCCAGACUCCUACGGGAGGCAGCAGUAGGGAAUCUUCGGCAAUGGGGGCAACCCUGACCGAGCAACGCCGCGUGAGUGAAGAAGGUUUUCGGAUCGUAAAGCUCUGUUGUAAGUCAAGAACGGGUGUGAGAGUGGAAAGUUCACACUGUGACGGUAGCUUACCAGAAAGGGACGGCUAACUACGUG